rnacentral:rRNA from 1 species
AGAGUUUGAUCAUGGCUCAGAUUGAACGCUGGCGGCAGGCCUAACACAUGCAAGUCGAACGGUAACAGGAAGAAGCUUGCUUCUUUGCUGACGAGUGGCGGACGGGUGAGUAAUGUCUGGGAAACUGCCUGAUGGAGGGGGAUAACUACUGGAAACGGUAGCUAAUACCGCAUAACGUCGCAAGACCAAAGAGGGGGACCUUCGGGCCUCUUGCCAUCGGAUGUGCCCAGAUGGGAUUAGCUAGUAGGUGGGGUAACGGCUCACCUAGGCGACGAUCCCUAGCUGGUCUGAGAGGAUGACAGCCACACUGGAACUGAGACACGGUCCAGACUCCUACGGGAGGCAGCAGUGGGGAAUAUUGCACAAUGGGCGCAAGCCUGAUGCAGCCAUGCCGCGUGUAUGAAGAAGGCCUUCGGGUUGUAAAGUACUUUCAGCGGGGAGGAAGGGAGUAAAGUUAAUACCUUUGCUCAUUGACGUUACCCGCAGAAGAAGCACCGGCUAACUCCGUGCCAGCAGCCGCGGUAAUACGGAGGGUGCAAGCGUUAAUCGAAAUUACUGGGCGUAAAGCGCACGCAGGCGGUUUGUUAAGUCAGAUGUGAAAUCCCCGGGCUCAACCUGGGAACUGCAUCUGAUACUGGCAAGCUUGAGUCUCGUAGAGGGGGGUAGAAUUCCAGGUGUAGCGGUGAAAUGCGUAGAGAUCUGGAGGAAUACCGGUGGCGAAGGCGGCCCCCUGGACGAAGACUGACGCUCAGGUGCGAAAGCGUGGGGAGCAAACAGGAUUAGAUACCCUGGUAGUCCACGCCGUAAACGAUGUCGACUUGGAGGUUGUGCCCUUGAGGCGUGGCUUCCGGAGCUAACGCGUUAAGUCGACCGCCUGGGGAGUACGGCCGCAAGGUUAAAACUCAAAUGAAUUGACGGGGGCCCGCACAAGCGGUGGAGCAUGUGGUUUAAUUCGAUGCAACGCGAAGAACCUUACCUGGUCUUGACAUCCACGGAAGUUUUCAGAGAUGAGAAUGUGCCUUCGGGAACCGUGAGACAGGUGCUGCAUGGCUGUCGUCAGCUCGUGCUGUGAAAUGUUGGGUUAAGUCCCGCAACGAGCGCAACCCUUAUCCUUUGUUGCCAGCGGUCCGGCCGGGAACUCAAAGGAGACUGCCAGUGAUAAACUGGAGGAAGGUGGGGAUGACGUCAAGUCAUCAUGGCCCUUACGACCAGGGCUACACACGUGCUACAAUGGCGCAUACAAAGAGAAGCGACCUCGCGAGAGCAAGCGGACCUCAUAAAGUGCGUCGUAGUCCGGAUUGGAGUCUGCAACUCGGCUCCAUGAAGUCGGAAUCGCUAGUAAUCGUGGAUCAGAAUGCCACGGUGAAUACGUUCCCGGGCCUUGUACACACCGCCCGUCACACCAUGGGAGUGGGUUGCAAAAGAAGCAGGUAGCUUAACCUUCGGGAGGGCGCUUACCACUUUGUGAUUCAUGACUGGGGUGAAGUCGUAACAAGGUAACCGUAGGGGAACCUGCGGUUG